AAGGAGCAGGGUAAAAGGUGAACUCUAAGAAGUAUGCAAGAGUAGUAUGCAGAAACAGCCUUGUCAGGGUGCCGUUUUGAAAGGAAGGCUGCUUAACUCAUUUUGACCGCUGUGCAUAAUAUUCAGGCUUGCAGGCUGAUGGAACCUCUAUCCAGAACAUCACUGAUCUAUAUGGAAGGGCAAGAGUGAAGCCUGUGAAUUCUUACUGGCUUCUUCCAGGAAAUGGCACAGCUCACUUCAGCUUAUGUUUUAUUGAUCAAAGCAAUUCACAUGGUUAGCUACACUCCAAAGAGCUAAAGAGGACAGAAGAGGUCUUAUGUACGUUGUUUGAAGGCAUUUCGUGAAGCUGCCUAAGAGUCUCC
rnacentral:lncRNA from 1 species